AUGGGGAAAAACCCCUGUGACCUUUUUGUGACCCGCACUGGUUCCACCAUUAUUUAAUGCACGUAUAUAUAACAAAGUAUAUAUAACAAAGUACGACUGUGUACUAAAGCACCAUGGGUUCCUUCCUUAUUCCAUCAUUGUUACACAACAAUGAUGAGCCUAACCAUGAUUGGACACGACAAUAAAGAGCCUAACUAUGAUUGGACAGGCAGUGUGUCUCCUGAGAUCAGGGGUUGGCCCCCCUGAUCUCACGUGACCUCUGCAUAUAAGAGCGGACUUUUCUGGGCACACUUUGGGGUCGGUUGUAGGACUUCACGCGUAGUCGCUCGCCCGGAGUUUCCUUUGCUCAAACCAGGAACGUUGUGUGGCCCUCCGUUCAUUGUCGACAUGGUAAGAGCUUGAUUUAAAUAUCAUAAAGGAACUCAUUGCGCUUUGGUGUUAAGAUAUCUGUGUUAGCUUCGAGAACUAAUCCAUAUCUAGCGCCAUGGUAAUGUGUAACUGAUAUGCUGAACCGUUAACUGCUUUGUGUAGCUGACUGAACUGAUAACUGAUAUGUUGAACCGUUAACUGCUUUGUGUAGCUGACUGAACUGAUAACUGAUAUGCUGAACCGUUAACUGCUUUGUGUAGCUAACUGAACUGAUAACUGAUAUGCUGAACCGUUAACUGCUUUGUGUAGCUAACUGAACUGAUAACUGAUAUGCUGAACCGUUAACUGCUUUGUGUAGUUGACUGAACUGAUAUGUGUAACCGUUAACUGUCGAGUUUUGUCUUUGCUUGCUUUUGUGGGACUGUAAUCGAUUAAGCUUUAAUUUCUCCUGUUAUCCUCUUCAUUUAUUCAUUUCAUUUACAAUUUCUAUUCAAUAAACAUUGCUAAUAAGCAAAAGUGUGCCUGUUAUUCUACUCACUGCGAACCUGUUACGAAGUUUCUUUCAUCUUCCAUGAAAGUGUGAUCUCGAUCACUUCGUAUAAAAAACUGAUUAUACGAAAUUUGCUUGUUUGACGCUGCAAUUGAUUAUGAGCAGUGUCAGGGUUAUUUUACAUUAUAGCUAUCUCGAAAUUGUUGCUGAUAAUUUCGUAAAACACCGAUCCUUUGCGGUUGCUGCCCCCAGGCUGUGGAACAGCCUUCCCCCCGAAAUCCGCACCACCACGGAUGUAGGUCUUUUUAAGUCUCGGCUAAAAACACACCUUUUUAGACUCGCCUUUUACAAAGAUUAGGAUAGCCUGGUUUUAUUAGCUUAAGGGCUUUUUUAAUGUUUCUUUUCGAUUUUAUCGGUUUUAUUGUUUUACUUGCUGGAAUUUUAUUGCGAUGCGCUCUUUGUUUUAUUUUAUUUUGUAAAAUGUCAUUGUAUAAUAUUUUCCUGCCUUUUAUUUAUCUUGAGCCAUGUUUUGUUGUAAAGCACUUUGGGGGCCUUUCGGGUUUUGUAAAGGGCUAUAUAAAUAAAUUUGAUUGAUUGAUUGAAAUAACAGUCUUGUGCUAAAUGGAAUAUGAAAUAAUAAAAAUGCACUUAUUCAGGACGACAUGGCAAAAUUACUCCAUAAUGGUCAGAACUGUCGACUUCACCUUUACUGUCGCACCUCCCAAACCAUAUUUUAUGACACCUAAAUCGGACAUGUCAUUUCCCUUCCCCGGCUUCGGAGAAUGUAAACAAACCAAGAGGCGUGACAGCUAGCUGACAUGCUAACCCGAACCGAGUGAUGUUUCAAAGUCUUCGAAGUGUGAAAAUCACACAUAACUAGCCCAGAUUAUUUGACAUGACGACUGGGUUGUCGAUUAUCUUUGUGGAUCGGCAAACCGCCCGGCGGAGAGCAAUUUACAGUUCCUUCCGCGGAGGAGGGUGGCUGCAGUUGUUGUGCAGCUAACGUACAGCUAAUGUGACCAGUGUCAGAAGGUGGGACCACAGCUCAACAUUGUGAAGAAACUGGAUUGUAUCAAGGUAUCUGCUGUUUGGGAGCUGGUGGGAAUCGACCUCACAGGUCCAUUGCCCAAAACAUCCAGAGGCUAUCAGUCAGUCAGGCUGACAGCCACUGAUUAUUUUUCCAAGUGGGUGGAAGCCUUUCCCCAAAAAAACCAAAUCAGCUGAGGAGGUGGCAAAAAAUCUUUGUACCAUGAUAUACAGACAUGGCUGUCCCAUAAGAAUACUUCCGGACCAAGGACGAGAGUUUGUAAAUGAAAUUAACAAGAAAAUGUGUGAACUGCUAUGCAUUGAAAGCCGCUUACCACAGCCGCUUACCACCCUCAAACAAAUGGUUUGGAUGAGAGAACCAAUGCCAACAUUAAUCGAGCUCUGAGGAAGUAUGUAAAUCAGGACCAAAUGACUGGGAUGAAUACCUGGAUCCAGUGCUUUUCUCAUUGAGAUCCAAAAUACAAACCACAACUAAAUUUUCACCAUUCCUCUUGAUGUAUGGUAGAGAGGCGAGGUUUCCUGCGGAAGUGCCUCUCGAACUGCCAUGCACCAACUAUGGUCUAAAAAAGAUUCUGGCCAAGUGGAAGCUGUUGUAGGACCGUUUAAGUUACAUGACAACUCUUUCAGAAGCCUACAUGGAAAUAAUUGGUUGGCUGAUGAGAUCAUUGAUGCUUACUUGCACAAACUUUUGCAGUAAAGUACUAACAGAAUCCGUUGUUGCCACUGCCAUUUUCUACUGUGGCCAGUUCAAAGUUGGUGAAAAGAUGACAUGGCUAGAUGACAUGGCCCGACUGUCAGACAUGAAUCUGCCCAGUGAAUGUUGGUAAUCACUGGAUUUUAAUGAUUGUAAAACCAGACAAAUAUUGGGCCAUUUUGAUAGCCCCAAUGGGCAAUGAAGAACAAUAUGAGUGGAAAAUUCUCCGGAAUUUGAGGAAUUUCUGGAAGAGCAGAAAUGUGCCAUCAAGGCCAUGGCAUCAAAAAAUGCUGCCACACAAAUUGCAGCAGGAUGUCUCUAAUCGUGGAAUCUUAAUUUUGAAGUUUGCAGAGCAGUAUUUAAAAUACGAAGAAAUUCACUCCGUAGAAACUAACAUGGAGGCGAUGGAAGCCGCAAGACUUCAAAUUGCAGCCAUUCUUUUGAUGUGCAAAGAAUCUGUGGAUGAGUAUUGUGUGUCCUGUUCAAUGCUGCAAUAUGAUGGUGAACAAAGCAUCAUUGAUAUGGUGGAGUGUGACUUUUGUUCACGGUGGACACAUACACAAUGUGCAGGACAACACCACGAUACCUUUGAAUGCAGAAAAUGCAAGUUGAAUUCCACAGAACUGAAGAAUUAAAAUACAAAAAUUGAUGUCAAAUUUCAAUGUAACAUGAUUCACUGCUUUCGUCGUCUACCGUGACAUAAUGUUAUGGUUAUAGUGUCCACUGCAUAUGGGGGGACACAUUCUUCAAAUAUUUGCAAUGUUAAUUUAAAAAAUAGUUCUGUGACAAGAGAUGUCACUGUAGCAAAAAAAAAAGACGUUUAAAUCCAUGUUUCAGGCAAGGUAAGCCUUUUUUUUUUUUUUUUUUUCAUAAUUAAUGGCAAAAUUAUUCAAAGUACAUUACAUAUUAAAAUCAGCUUGAUACAAUUGAAGUGUUUACUUUUUAAUCCCUGAUUGUGUGCCAACAGCUGAUUUCUCACAUGAAUCACUUACUGAUCAUAUGUUAACAACUUUUGUAUAGUUAUGCACCUUUCAGUAUCACAUUUUGUUAAUUGGUGUGUCUUUGCAGAAUGUUGCGUUGAUUAAAUUUCUCUGCGCUUUGUGUGUGACUAGUGUGUCUGUGUCCUGGGUUAGGGAGUGAAUGAAUGGCCACUUUGCUACUUGGAGUGGUGAUCCCAUCUCAAAUGCGACUAUUUAAAAAAAAAAAAAAAAUUGCCAUGAAUCUUAACCACUCCUAUUUAAUGUCUAUUAAAGAACAUCAAAAGGGAAAAAAAAGCUUGACACAAUUGGCAAUGAAGGAAAGUCAAAACAACGUAGUUACUGGAGCAUCGUUAAAGCAUACUUAGGUGGGCUACUCUGGUCGCGUUUGUUCGCACGAAAUAAAAACAAAAGGGGUAAAAGGCACAGCAGUAUUUGGUAUGAUUAAAUAUUUGAAGGCUGGGGCAUAAAAUGUUCUCCAAUACAGGUAAAACCAAUGUAUGAGAACAUCGUCGUAGCAUACAGAGGAAUGCUACUCUUGUUAACACUGGAAUAUUGUAAUAUACGUAGGAAUGCUUCUCUGAUCAAUUGUACCAGUCCAAAAUAAAACCAAAAGGGACGGUUGUCUUUUGUGAAUAAUCUAAAAUGUGAAGGAAAGAACGUAAACAGUCUUCCAAUUCUAAAAUUAUCCACCGAAAACAUUGUUAUAGCAUACGUAGAAUGCUACUGUGAUGAGGUAUGCUCGCGCGAUAGAUGUAACUGUCACACUGGCAUUCGGGUAUGCUGUCGUGAUAAAGCGUGCUGGAUUGGAUGGCCAAUUUAAUUUCUUCUAGCAUUUUCCAUAAUGCAGGUCUGCCAAUUCUACUCAUGCACAAAGACGAGGGUUCGCCACCUCUAUUCAUGCACAACGCACAAAGUUAAACUACCGGUAGUAGUGCAAACUAGCGUCUUCCUCGACACAUAUAUUCCACAUGUCUCACUCCCACAUUCCAUGCUCGAGCGCCCCUGGCGGCCGUCAGAAAAAUACACAAAUUGGCCGCAUCAUUGCAAACGCCGCAGGACCCAAAAUGAGAGAAAAAAGUAGCGGCUUGGAGUCCGGAAAUUACGGUAGUUUGUCAUGUAUCAGCCUAUGGUGAACCUACUUAAUUAGUUGCACACUCCCCACAGUGCACGUUUUUGUUGACGAAUAUAUUCCUGGGCUAAAUUUUGUUCCAUGUAAUCAUAUUUUGUACUUUGGAUGAUUCAAAGGAGCUAUUGAGAAAUAUUUUGGAAUUGGAGGUGGAGUGCCAUCCUCUUCACAAAAUGAUGAUUUCCCCAAAUGUACAAUUCAAGGUAAUGCUUGGCAUUGUCGUCUACAUAGUUAUGAGAUCAAGAAUCAAGAAAGAUGCACAUUAAGUUACAAUUUUAAUACAUUUUUACAAAAAUAUGGGCCCCUUGGCAUUAUUUUGCUUGGGGCCCCCAAAUGGCCUCGGCCGGCCCUGUCUAAAAUACUUCAAAAUCGGCAAAAUCUUGACUUGAAUCUAUCUUUAAAUGAUAAAACCGUUUUAAAAUUUUCACUUCAAGAUAUAAUAAAUAAAUGACUUCCAAACACAGCAAAGGUUACCAUGUUUUUGUUUUGUUUUUUUUAAAUGGGGAAAAAAACAUGAAAGGUAACACCAGUUACUUUGCCAAGUAACUAAUUACUCUUACAUUCAGGUAACUGAGUUACUAACUCAAUUACUUGUUGGGAGAAGUAAUUUGUAACUAAUUCAUUACUUUUUAAAAGUAUGAUUAACAAAACUGGUCAUAUAGAUGAAGUCUGCAGAAUGAAAAGUGACGAAAGCGGAGAUUUUAUUCUGUCAAUUUGUUGCCGAACAAAAUUUGCCUGCAACAUCACUUCUCAGAAUUAGCAAAAGAAAUGUUCCCUGACUCAAAGAUUGCAUCGGUGAGUUAAUAUUAUCAAUUGACCUUUUUAAUUUAUAAUUGGACACACUAACGAACUACCUUCUAGUCAACUGAAUUGCGAGCUGAAGUACACCCAUGAAGACAUGAUAGAAAUUGCCAAAAGUGCAACAUACAAUUAUGACAAAAGUCCCUUUUAAUUUUAGUAAUCAUGAUGUAGCUGUAGAUAUUGUUCUUUGAGUGCUCCAGGUUAUAUGUUACAAUAUUAACAAUAUAUUCAUAUUAUUUCAAAAAUUGAGUUUUAUUUUUGUUUCAUAUUGCACCCUUUAUACAACGUUGUAAGAUUGCCAACGGCCUUGGGUCGACAGGUAUGCAAUCACAGAUAUGGGGGGCGGGCCGAGUAGCCGGCCAUUGGGUACUGCGAUUGGAUAGGGAUUGCUUCGGUUUCAGAAAUGACGAUUGAGCGGUUCCUCCAUUGCUAAUUCAAAUUGGAAUGGACAUCUGUGUUUUUUUGUGCUCUUUAGCUGCUGUAGUUACCUCUUCAAGCAUGACUGUUGAUUUCACUGCUCAUCUUGACAUCAGUGCAUAUGUUAUGUUUACGCUGAAGCACUUUAGUUGAAUAAAUGCACACAGAACUGCACCAUUGUUUUUCGUUUGUGUUAUAGAUUUUACGAUGAACUAUCACUUGUGACUUCAGUGACAUAAAAUAUUUCAGUGCCCUAAUGUAGUAAUGUACGGAUAAUAACGCCCAUGUUCAGGCUAAAUUUAAGUUCAAGAAGUGUGCCUAAGACUAAGACUAAUUCAGAAUUUUGACAAUUCUUUUUGGAAAAAAAAAUGAUGGAUGCAAGUCAACACAUGCAUCUGAA